AACGUAGGAGACAAACGUUAUCCGGAGUUACUGGGCGUAAAGGGCGUGUAGGUGGUUGCGUAAGUCUGGCGUGAAAUUUUUCGGCUUAACCGGGAAAGGUCGUCGGAUACUGCGUAGCUAGAGGACGGUAGAGGCGUGUGGAAUUCCGGGGUGUAGUGGUGAAAUGCGUAGAGAUCCGGAGGAACACCAGUGGCGAAGGCGACACGCUGGGCCGGUACCUGACACUGAUGCGCGACAGCAUGGGGAGCAAACAGG
rnacentral:rRNA from 1 species